rnacentral:rRNA from 1 species
GACAGAGGAUGCAAGCGUUAUCCGGAAUGAUUGGGCGUAAAGCGUGUGUAGGUGGCUUUUCAAGUCCGCCGUGAAAUCCCAGGGCUCAACCCUGGACAGGCGGUGGAAACUGCCAAGCUGGAGUACGGUAGGGGCAGAGGGAAUUUCCGGUGGAGCGGUGAAAUGCGUAGAGAUCGGAAAGAACACCAACGGCGAAAGCACUCUGCUGGGCCGACACUGACACUGAGAGACGAAAGCUAGGGGAGCGAAUGGG